rnacentral:lncRNA from 1 species
CUAUGUCAGAAGCUCGUUCUAUUCUCGAAGCUACCUCCUAUGCCUCCUUUACUUUGCAGAGCUCUCAUAUUCUUUCGGAUUCCCAUGAGCUACUUUACUCAAUCAACGCUUCAGAGAACUAUUAUAAACCGCCCUGGCAAUGUUACUCCUGAUCCAUCGAAUCAGAGUCGUCCUACGCAAUAAUGCUAGGAUCUCAGUGGCAUUUAUCCCUAGAGCAUUAAAUGCCAAGGCCUACUAGGUAGCCAAAUCUGCCCG